rnacentral:misc_RNA from 1 species
GUACACCUCUGGCCAGAGUAAAACUAUUCGAAUAGCCGUGCCCGCGGUUAUGGGCGAGUUGAGCAAUGUUUUUCGUGAUUAGUCUCAGACCUCUCACAAUAAUUAUGGAUGUUGUACCUGGUAAUAAUUUGUUUAAUUUGUUUAGCUCCUGGUUUGGAGAUUAGAUCUGUACAGCCGGGUAUGGUUGUUCAGGAUGGUUGGGCCUGUGCAGCAUGGGUAU